CCUCCCACCCGUGUUUAUUAUACCUUGUUGCUUCGGUGGGCCCGCCGUAUGGGCGCCGGGGGGCUUCUGCCCCCGGGCCCGUGCCCGCCGAAGACGCCUAGAACUCUGUCUGAAGAUUGUAGUCUGAGUGAAAAUAUAAAUUAUUUAAAACUUUCAACAACGGAUCUCUUGGUUCCGGCAUCGAUGAAGAACGCAGCGAAAUGCGAUACGUAAUGUGAAUUGCAGAAUUCAGUGAAUCAUCGAGUCUUUGAACGCACAUUGCGCCCUCUGGUAUUCCGGAGGGCAUGCCUGUCCGAGCGUCAUUGCUGCCCUCAAGCACGGCUUGUGUGUUGGGCCCCGCCCCCCGAUCCCGGGGGGCGGGCCCGAAAGGCAGCGGCGGCACCGCGUCCGGUCCUCGAGCGUAUGGGGCUUUGUCACCCGCUCUGUAGGCCCGGCCGGCGCUUGCCGAUCAACCAAACUUUUUUCCAGGUUGACCUCGGAUCAGGUAGGGAUACCCGCUGAACUUAAGCAUAUCA
rnacentral:rRNA from 2 species